UACGAAGGGGGCGAGCGUUGUUCGGAAUUACUGGGCGUAAAGGGCGCGUAGGCGGCCGAUCAAGUUAGAUGUGAAAGUCCUGGGCUUAACCUGGGGACUGCAUUUGAUACUGAUUGGCUUGAAUUCGGGAGAGGAUAGCGGAAUUCCCAGUGUAGAGGUGAAAUUCGUAGAUAUUGGGAAGAACACCGGUGGCGAAGGCGGCUAUCUGGACCGACAUUGGCGCUGAGGCGCGAAAGCGUGGGGAGCAAACAGG
rnacentral:rRNA from 1 species